UGGGGGAUAUUGCGCAAUGGGCGAAAGCCUGACGCAGCGACGCCGCGUGGGUGAUGAAGGCCUUCGGGUCGUAAAGCCCUGUCAGGAGGGACGAAACCUCGCCGACCGAAUACGUCGGCGACCUGACGGUACCUCCAAAGGAAGCACCGGCUAACUCCGUGCCAGCAGCCGCGGUAAUACGGAGGGUGCGAGCGUUGUUCGGAAUCACUGGGCGUAAAGCGCGUGUAGGCGGCUUCCUAAGUCUGGUGUGAAAUCCCGGGGCUCACCCCCGGAAGUGCACUGGAUACUGGGAAGCUCGAGUACCGGAGAGGAGGGUGGAAUUCCUGGUGUAGCGGUGAAAUGCGUAGAUAUCAGGAGGAACACCUGUGGCGAAGGCGGCCCUCUGGACGGAUACUGACGCUGAGACGCGAAAGCGUGGGGAGCAAACAGGAUUAGAUACCCUGGUAGUCCACGCCGUAAACGAUGGGUGCUAGGUGUCAGGGGCUUUGGACCCCUCUGGUGCCGUAGCUAACG
rnacentral:rRNA from 1 species